rnacentral:rRNA from 1 species
GACGAACGCUUGCGGCGUGCCUAAGAAAUGCAAGUCGAGCGAGCUUAGCCCUUCGGGGCGACGGCUAGCGGCGAACGGUCGAGUAACACGUGAGCAACCUGCCCUGAAGAGGGGGAUAGCCCAGCGAAAGUUGGAUUAAUACCGCAUGUGGUCACAGAGCGGCAUCGUUUUGUGAUUAAAGCAGCAAUGCGCUUCAGGAUGGGCUCGCGGCCUAUCAGCUUGUUGGUGGGGUAAUGGCCUACCAAGGCAUCUACGGGUAGCUGGUCUGAGAGGAUGGUCAGCCGGAUUGGGACUGAGAUACGGCCCAGACUCCUACGGGGGGCAGCAAUUAGGAAUCUUGCGCAAUGGGCGAAAGCCUGACGCAGCGACGCCGCGUGACCGACGAA